GCCGGCAGCUCAAGUGGUGGCCAUUAUUAUUGGGCCUCAAGCCUUCCUCGCCCCCCUGCCCAGUCUCUCCUCAAAUCCUGCAGCUUAACUGUGGGACUUGCUGGAGAUACUAUCAGACUUGAGGUCGGGAGAGGUUAGGGGUACUCCCAGGGUAGGGGUGAAAUCCUAUAAUCCUGGGGGGGGGGGGUGGAGCGAGGUGGCGGAAGGGGAGAGAAGGGGGGGGGGAGGAAAGAAAGAAAGGGGAGAGAAAAG
rnacentral:rRNA from 1 species